rnacentral:rRNA from 1 species
UCAGAGUGAAUGCUAUUGAUAUACAUAAUACAUGCAAGUCGAACGAGAUCUGAAAAGAUUUAGUGGCGCACGGGUGAGUAAUGUAAAGGAAUCUGCCUUAAAGUAGAGGAAAAGAAAAAAAAAUCCUUUAUACAAAGAAAGUAUUUAAAAGUAUGCUUUAAGAGGAGCCUUUAUAGGAUUAGGUAGUUGGUAGGGUAAAGGCCUACCAAGCUAAAAAUCCUUAGCUGGUCUGAGAGGAUGAACAGCCACACUGGGACUGAAAAAGGCCCAGACUUCCAUGGAAGGCUGCAGUAGGGAAUUCUGGACAAUGGGCGAAAGCUUGAUCCGGUGAUAUCAAAGGAGUGAAGAAGGUGAAAAUUGUAAAACUUGAUUACUAAAGAGGAUAAUGACGUUAUUUAGUAAGGAAGCCCCGGCUAAUCCUGUGCCAGCAGCUGCGGUAAUACAGGAGGGGCAAGUGUUACUCGUCAUGAUUGGGCGUAAAGGGUAUGUAGGCGGCUUAGAAAGUUAGAAGGUUCAGAGCUACUAAAACUUCUAAGCUAGAAUAUAGGAGAGGAAAGCCGUAUUCCUAUUGGAGAGGUGAAAUGUUAAGAUAAUAGGAGGACGAGCGAAGGCGAAGGCAGCUUUCUAGUCUAGAAUUGACGCUGAGAUACGAAAGCAUGGGGAGCAACCGGGAUUAGAUACCCCGUUAGUCCAUGCUGUCAACGAUGAGUGUUGCAUGUUGAGAAAGAAAAAUUUAUCAGUGUGUCAGCUAACGCGUUAAACACUCCGCCUGGGGACUACGAUCGCAAGAUUAAAACUCAAAGGAAUUGACGGGAACUUGUACAAGCGGUGGAGCAUGUGGUUUAAUUCGAUAGUAAGCGAAAAAUCUUACCAAAUCUUUAAAUAAUAAAAAAUAUUGUAUGGAGACAUAUAAGAACUAUAGUAUCGGGUAUGGUAUUAU